CCCUGACUGGAGAGAAGCCCAGGUUGGCUGCCUACAAUCAGAGUCCACAUAUGUUCGGGGGAGGGACCCCAGAAGGCGGCUGACAGUAUUCCUUUAGCCAGAAAUCCCUUCAGGGAAGAGAAAGGUGCUCCCCUUUGCCUGCUUUUAUACUACAGACUGUUUCCAACUCCAGCUAGAAGUGACUAUUGCCGAUUAUGCUAAUCAGUGGCGACAAGCUCCCUUUGACUGCUCACUUCUCCAGUGAGGCUUCAAGCUUCUAGGCAUCAAGAUUAGUAAGGCUGUCUUCUGGGUGGGCCAGUUUGUUUCUCAGUGACACGAAAACAUUGCCUGGGGUGUGCACUGGUAUUUUCCAGAAAAUAUUUCAAGCAGAAUAUACUUAUUUUCCAGUUUUGAAAACAACUAGAUUGCCCAUCUCCAUUUCUCUCUAUCAUCUACUGUAUUAUUCUAUGGACAACUGCCACCCUAAUAAGGUCAAGAAGGGAAGCCAGAAGUCAAGGCCACAGAAGACACAGGAAACAUCAUUUCCAAAGUGGGAGACAAAGCUGUUAACAGGAAAUUAUUUGUAAAGUCAAGAGCCAAGCAAAACAGAAAAAGGACAAGAAAUCUAUCACCUGUGGGUAUGAAUGGUUCUAGGGAAGUCUGUUGACAAUUGGAGGGUCUCAAAGGCGCUUUAUGGUACUUAUUUUAUGACCCUGAGUCUGGAGUCUGAUGAAUUAAAGAGGAAAUUCUGCUCUGGGCAACAUUUAAGAGAUAGUAUCUCCAGGCAGUAACUUUCGUAUUAACUCUCAUAAGAUUGAUGCCAUUCUGUCAUCUAAAGUGUGGACAAAAGUAGCAUUAAAGCAAAAUGAAAGGAUAUACUAA
rnacentral:lncRNA from 1 species